AAAAAGAAAAACCCGCGUCCGGGUAUACGCGGGUUUUCGCUCGCCGUUUGCACGGCAAGCACUGGGAGAGGAGAAACCGGAGGAAGAGCUUAUGGGGAAACCUAAGUCUUCUCCGCGG
rfam:Tumebacillus sp. AR23208, complete genome.